AACGCGAAAAUGUGAAAUAAGUAAAUGCGAAGACCGAAGUAAACACAAGUAGGAGUUGUGAUUAACUUUAGCCAGAUUACGGAGAUGAUGGAUUGUUUCACGUAACCUAAAACUAAACGAGCGCGGUGCUAAAUGGUUAAGUAAAAACAAAAGCAAAAAGAAACCGUUAAUUAUUGAAGGAUCGGUAAGUGUAUAAAACUCGAACUUUAGUUUAAUGAAAUUGAUUGUUACUUUAGAGAACCCAUUACUGUUUAAAUUUCUGGGUGGAAAAGUUCAAUUCUUGUCCAUAAGACAUGGAAACAUUGGGUUGCGCUUGCGACCCAUGAGAAGAGCAAGGGAUGGCAAUUUAUGGCAUCAUAAUGUUGCAUAUCGGAGACAUCGUAGCACUACCUGGGAUACUGCCAUACUUUAUGUUAUUAUCGCGUGCCCGUAACGCGAAUGAGCCACUGAAUGGGCGACGAAACCUUCUGCUACUGCAGCCGAUCUACAGCCACCGAACUGUUUUAAGUUGAAGAACUCCACCAGCACUUGCUAAUAUUGUAGCGAUGAGAUGCCAAAAACAAUGUCCGGGCUAUCGUAUUGGAACAGGUGUUUAGUGACUACCUGAUUGGAUCUGGAGAAUACAUCUUUCGUUAUUGACAUCUACACAGAUUAUAAUACUAAUAUUGUAACCCAGUCUAAAUCUGUAAUCAUAAAAGAUCGUUGUAGGUACAUUUUAGAAUAAUAAAACUGACAUGGUCAUUAGGCAUUA